rnacentral:rRNA from 1 species
UACGUAGGGUGCAAGCGUUGUCCGGAAUUAUUGGGCGUAAAGAGCUCGUAGGCGGCUUGUCGUACGUCGACUGUGAAAACCCGGGGCUCAACUCCGGGCCUGCAGCCGAUACGGGCAGACUAGAGUUCGGCAGGGGAGACUGGAAUUCCUGGUGUAGCGGUGAAAUGCGCAGAUAUCAGGAGGAACACCGGUGGCGAAGGCGGGUCUCUGGGCCGAUACUGACGCUGAGGAGCGAAAGCGUGGGGAGCAAACAGG